rnacentral:rRNA from 1 species
CCCUUAGAUGUCCUGGGCCGCACGCGCGUUACACUGAUGCAUUCAACGAGCUUAUAACCUUGGCCGAGAGGCCUGGGCAAUCUUGUUAACGUGCAUCGUGAUAGGGAUAGAUUAUUGAAAUUAUUAAUCUUGAACGAGGAAUUCCUAGUAAACGCAGAUCAUCAAUCUGCAUUGAUUACGUCCCUGCCCCUUGUACACACCGCCCGUCGCACCUACCGAUUGGAUGGUCCGGUGAAGCCUCGGGAUUGUGGUUCUUGCCGCUUUAUUGUGGCGUGACCGCGAGAACUUGUCUAAACCUUAUCAUCUAGAGGAAGGUGAAGUCGUAACA